CUUUCCCUUCAAAAAUUCCCAAAUUGAGGGGAAAUCCCUAAUUUCCUUCUCUCUCCCUUCGCCUCAUUCUCACCGCCACCGUCGACGCCUCUCGCCGGAUUAUGAGCUCGAUCUCUCGGCUACUACACAGCACCGCCGCCAGCCGCCUGACGACGAGCCGGUGUCGCUGCUGUCGCGCAGCCGACUCUACGCCCAGCCGUUGCCCGUGUUGCAUCGUCGGAAGAGAGAAGAAGGCAUCGCUUCCCUCCGCACAGAGCUCCGACUGCCUCCGUGACUUCCUCUGUUCUCUAGAACGGAGUCGAUCAGUUCGGCUCCCUUCUUCGAGCUGCGGUUCUGCCCGUGAGCCACGCCGAUUCGUCGGCCAGUAGCUAAGUCCCUACCCUCUCUCUCUUAGUUCUUUUACAGUUAGCUAAAAGUUGGAUUUUUAGAAGGUUCAUGGUAUUAGAGUUGAACAGAUUAUGGUUUGAGGCUUGAAAACAUGACCUUUUCGGAAAUUUGCAUUCCAUGCUUUGAGUUUUAUGCGUACCAGUUAUGCUUGUGCUUUAUGUUCUAUACAUGAUAAGGUUAUUUCCCAUAUGAUCAUGUUGUGAUGUUCUAAGUGGGUGAAAAUGAGGUAUAAGGGUGAGUAUGUGCUACCUGAUUCCUUGUGGCUGGUGGUUGGAAAAAAAACUCCCACUUCUAAUGGUCUUUGAGAGGCAUAGCAACCUAUACUCACUCUCUACUCUCGGUUGUGAUUUGUGGGGGAGAAAGAAUGAAAUUUUGAGGUGGUGAGUGGUGAAGGGAAACAGAUAUUGAAGGGGAAAAACAUAUAUAUAAGCUGUUGCUGCAAUUUGUUGAGAUAUGGCAGAAAUCAAAUCUGCAUUUUUUUGGCUCUUUGUUCACAUUGAUUGGCUGUUUGUGGGGCAGUACAUAUGUUGUACUCGUGAAUCAAUAAAUGGGCUGAUCCUAUUGUGCAGCGAAUCCCCUCUUUGCAGCUCCUUAGUGUGCUUUGAACUUAAUUUAUUUUGGUGGCAUUUGGAGUACGAGAACUUGGGUAAAAACUCCCUUUUGUUUUCAUGUUGCAGAUAGAUCCUCCUUUUUAAGAUCAUCACUGUGCUUUUAAUUAAUACAUUCGUCUCUUUCUUGAAGCAUAAGUACUCCCUUCAUAAAAUCACUUGUUUGCUUAUUGCAGGGGUGGUAUUGUAGGGAAAAGUAGUCUGUGGGUGCUGUUUUGAGGAGUGGGUCUUGCAGGCAUUGACUUGCCUUCUUGGGUGAAUGAAAGGCUUGGCUGCCACGUUGCUGUCCGAGACUUGGGGUUGCUGCCUUGGGCUCGAUGGGCUGUUCGGAACGGGCCGUGAUUUGGGCUUGGGAGAAAGAGGCCCAAAGUCCAAGCAUAAUAAGACUUUAGUUUCUUAAACUCUUUUGGCACAUUCAUGGGUAUUUUGUAAUAGUAUAGUAUCACAUAUUCUUUUCUUUCCAUUCAAAAUUCAUACGUAAGAUGAUCAUGUAAGUUAAUGUAUUAUUCGAGAUGUAAGCGAACACUUUAGUUCGGAAGGGACGUCUUCACAUUCUUUUUCAAA